CAGCCGCCGCGGUAAUACGGAGGGUGCAAGCGUUAAUCGGAAUUACUGGGCGUAAAGCGCACGCAGGCGGUCUGUCAAGUCGGAUGUGAAAUCCCCGGGCUCAACCUGGGAACUGCAUCCGAAACUGGCAGGCUAGAGUCUUGUAGAGGGGGGUAGAAUUCCAGGUGUAGCGGUGAAAUGCGUAGAGAUCUGGAGGAAUACCGGUGGCGAAGGCGGCCCCCUGGACAAAGACUGACGCUCAGGUGCGAAAGCGUGGGGAGCAAACAGGAUUAGAUACCCGUGUAGUCCCUGUCUCUUAUAA
rnacentral:rRNA from 1 species